AGCGUAGGCGGUUUUUUAAGUGGGGUGUGAAAUCCCUGGGCUUAACCCAGGAAUUGCAUCCCAUACUGGGAAACUAGAGUGCAGGAGAGGAAAGUGGGAAUUCCAAGUGUAGCGGUGAAAUGCGUAGAGAUUUGGAGGAACACCAGUGGCGAAGGCGACUUUCUGGACUGUAACUGACGCUGAGGCUCGAGAGCGUGGGGAGCAAACAGGAUUAGAUACCCUGGUAGUCCACGCUGUAAACGAUGAAUACUAGGUGUUGGGGGCGAAGCCCUCAGUGCCGCAGUUAACACAUUAAGUAUUCCGCCUGGGGAGUACGAUCGCAAGAUUAAA
rnacentral:rRNA from 1 species